rnacentral:rRNA from 1 species
AAAUUGAAGAGUUUGAUCAUGGCUCAGAUUGAACGCUGGCGGCAGGCCUAACACAUGCAAGUCGAACGGUAACAGGAAGAAGCUUGCUGCUUUGCUGACGAGUGGCGGACGGGUGAGUAAUGUCUGGGAAACUGCCUGAUGGAGGGGGAUAACUACUGGAAACGGUAGCUAAUACCGCAUAACGUCGCAAGACCAAAGAGGGGGACCUUCGGGCCUCUUGCCAUCGGAUGUGCCCAGAUGGGAUUAGCUAGUAGGUGGGGUAACGGCUCACCUAGGCGACGAUCCCUAGCUGGUCUGAGAGGAUGACCAGCCACACUGGAACUGAGACACGGUCCAGACUCCUACGGGAGGCAGCAGUGGGGAAUAUUGCACAAUGGGCGCAAGCCUGAUGCAGCCAUGCCGCGUGUAUGAAGAAGGCCUUCGGGUUGUAAAGUACUUUCAGCGGGGAGGAAGGGAGUAAAGUUAAUACCUUUGCUCAUUGACGUUACCCGCAGAAGAAGCACCGGCUAACUCCGUGCCAGCAGCCGCGGUAAUACGGAGGGUGCAAGCGUUAAUCGGAAUUACUGGGCGUAAAGCGCACGCAGGCGGUUUGUUAAGUCAGAUGUGAAAUCCCCGGGCUCAACCUGGGAACUGCAUCUGAUACUGGCAAGCUUGAGUCUCGUAGAGGGGGGUAGAAUUCCAGGUGUAGCGGUGAAAUGCGUAGAGAUCUGGAGGAAUACCGGUGGCGAAGGCGGCCCCCUGGACGAAGACUGACGCUCAGGUGCGAAAGCGUGGGGAGCAAACAGGAUUAGAUACCCUGGUAGUCCACGCCGUAAACGAUGUCGACUUGGAGGUUGUGCCCUUGAGGCGUGGCUUCCGGAGCUAACGCGUUAAGUCGACCGCCUGGGGAGUACGGCCGCAAGGUUAAAACUCAAAUGAAUUGACGGGGGCCCGCACAAGCGGUGGAGCAUGUGGUUUAAUUCGAUGCAACGCGAAGAACCUUACCUGGUCUUGACAUCCACGGAAGUUUUCAGAGAUGAGAAUGUGCCUUCGGGAACCGUGAGACAGGUGCUGCAUGGCUGUCGUCAGCUCGUGUUGUGAAAUGUUGGGUUAAGUCCCGCAACGAGCGCAACCCUUAUCCUUUGUUGCCAGCGGUCCGGCCGGGAACUCAAAGGAGACUGCCAGUGAUAAACUGGAGGAAGGUGGGGAUGACGUCAAGUCAUCAUGGCCCUUACGACCAGGGCUACACACGUGCUACAAUGGCGCAUACAAAGAGAAGCGACCUCGCGAGAGCAAGCGGACCUCAUAAAGUGCGUCGUAGUCCGGAUUGGAGUCUGCAACUCGACUCCAUGAAGUCGGAAUCGCUAGUAAUCGUGGAUCAGAAUGCCACGGUGAAUACGUUCCCGGGCCUUGUACACACCGCCCGUCACACCAUGGGAGUGGGUUGCAAAAGAAGUAGGUAGCUUAACCUUCGGGAGGGCGCUUACCACUUUGUGAUUCAUGACUGGGGUGAAGUCGUAACAAGGUAACCGUAGGGGAACCUGCGGUUGGAUCACCUCCUUACCUUAAAGAA